UGAAUCUUAAAAUAGAUUAGCUUUCUUAUAAAAACUAGAUGAUUUUGAAUGAAAUGGACUAUAAGAAUUAAACGAACAUCUACAUCAUGCAUAUAUGACUCAAAGCUUGCAUGCUAUAAUGUGGUAUUUAUUCAUAAUUUGGUUGCCAAAUCUCAUGCGUGCAAUGCACGUGUACCUUACUCUAGUCUAAAUGGUGUUUGUGUGUGUGUUGUGCGUGUUGAGGUGCAAAUUGUCUUUUUUUGGUACACGUUAAGCUUGUUCUUCUGAAAUUUCAAGCCGCGCCUUGUUAUGCCGAAAAUUCAAGCUAGCGUCUCUAUCUAUCGUGCUGGGAAACUCCCGCCUCUUCAACCCGCGCCUUGUUAGCCCGAAAUAUUUAAGAUAUAUCUUUGUCUCGUUGUGCUCCGACAACUCCCUCCAUCUCAACUCGCGCCUUCCUAUUCCGAAAUUACAACGCGCGCGAAAACUCCCACCUCCUGUGAAAUCCUGACACGCGAAAUGCCCGUGGUACCCCUGAACCGAAAGAACCGCCUCAAAUCGGUGGGGGUACUUUCAUAACUUACCCCACAUUUCGGACAAGCGCGUCUCUAAGCCAUAGUUCCCCACUGCCAUCCCAUCCGCCCAACCAUUCGUACACCGAGGCCGCGAAAACCCGCGACGAAACCCCACACCCUGCUCCGUCCGGCACCCAGCCAGAGCCUCUUCCCCGACGACGUCGUCCACAGCAACACCUCGACGUCCCUCAUCCACCGUACCGGAUGAGGAUCCGUCGUCGAUCUCAUCGUCCCGCCGGUUCAGCCACCCCGUCCUCCACCUCCAAGGAGUUGCCCCGACGUUCCCCUCAUCUUUCGCGCCACCUCCAUUCCCACACCGUCGUCUUCACCUGCACCACCGGAAGAGCAUCAUCAUCACCGUUUCCUCGGAUGAAGCUGCGGCCUAAUCGGUGCCACCAAAGAGGUUGUACACUAAUUGCCGCAUUUUCUUCUUGAUUCGAUCUCACGGUGCUGCCGGCGCUCGGUCCCGAGCCGACACGGCACGGCUCCAUCCACGGUGGCGUUGCCGGCCACUUCCUCCACGGCGUCGCUCCCUCGGCGGCGACGUCCACAUCAGUAGGAGCUGCUGCUGCUUUAGCUCUCGCUCGCGCUGCUGCUCUGCUCUUGCUCUCGGUCCCCUGCCUGGUCUACUCUUGCUAUUGCUCUUGCUCGCGCUGCUGCUCUCGCUCUUGCUCUUGCUUGCGAUGCUGCUCCGAUUUAGCUACACUUCAGUCGACUGAAUCGACUUUUGGAUCNNNNNNNNNNNNNNNNNNNNNNNNNNNNNNNNNNNNNNNNNNNNNNNNNNNNNNNNNNNNNNNNNNNNNNNNNNNNNNNNNNNNNNNNNNNNNNNNNNNNNNNNNNNNNNNNNNNNNNNNNNNNNNNNNNNNNNNNNNNNNNNNNNNNNNNNNNNNNNNNNNNNNNNNNNNNNNNNNNNNNNNNNNNNNNNNNNNNNNNNNNNNNNNNNNNNNNNNNNNNNNNNNNNNNNNNNNNNNNNNNNNNNNNNNNNNNNNNGCCGGGGUGAAGGAAGAACCAGCCACAGCGGGGAGGGGGGCUCACCGGAGAGGUACCCAACUAUCUAUCUUAGGGUUCAGGAUGGGGGCGGUGGUCGCCGGCGGUGGCGGGAGGGUGGCGUGGGGAUCGCCGGAGAAAAAGCUCGGCACGGGGGGCCUAGAGGGAUGGUCGGGGCAGCGGCGGACCGGCGGUGGGGAGUGUUUUCGGGGCGGGCGGGGCGGCGGGGGGCUGCUGUUUGGCCGGUGGUGGCUGGUGGCUCAGGGGGUGGAGGUUGAAGAUGAACCGCAGGCCCUUGAUUUCGUAUCCAACGGUUGCAAAAUCGACUGACCAGAGAUGAAAAAGUCAGUCAACCGACGUGUAGCCUCACCUUGCUAGUGCGUUCAGUUUCGACAGCAAAAUUCAGUUUCGACAGCAAAAUUCAGUUUCGAUAGUUAAGUUCAGUUCCGACAGUUAAGUUCAGUUUCGACAGUUAAAUUCAGUUUCGACAGUUAAGUUCAGAGAUGAGCGGCUGAUGUAUUUUACAUCUAGCACUUUGUGGUUAUGUAUUUUACGUCAUGUAUUGGAGAUGCUAUUAGAAUUCCACUCAGGUUAACGUUGUUCGUUGUCUCUCUUGUCCUGCUUCAACCUCGGCAUCGUACAACUCACCGGAGCUGCUCCAACGACGAAACCCUCCAUCACAGCGGAGCAGUACCUCGGGCUCCGUCUCCAGACGCCUAAGAUCUUCUUCCCCUCCUCCGACAGCCAUGUCAGCCGGAGCAUCCUCACCGGCCAACCCAAUCACACUGAGAUCGACAUGGCUUCGCCAAAGAGGUUGUACACUUGUUGCAUCUCUUUUUUACUCUACAUGUUAUAUAUAUUGUCCACUGAGCACUCGUAGUAAUGGGAAAUACGAUUAUUUUAUCCUACUAUAUGACAAGUAGUGAGGUACCAGGCAACUUAGCUAUCCAUCAUGGACUCUCUUGAACGGCAUCAUUAUUUAUCUCUGCGCGUUUGAGCUGUGCAUUUGUCGAUGGGCCUGGGAGUUGAGCUAGUAUGGCAGUGGCCUGGGUCCAAAGUAUAAUAGAAGUAGCACAAAAACAUUUUUUAGUGUAGGAUUUUCCUUGCCCAAGCCUGCCUACUAGAAUCGCCAGUGCUUGAAAGGAAAAGUGAAUGGAAAACAUCGGAAUUGGAAAGUUUCCUAUGGUACUACUUUUCAUGAAUUUGGUGCAAAGGAAUGGAGCAAAGGAAAACUGUAGGAUUUGUUCCUUUAGUGUCUCCUUGAAAGAAAAACCGUAGGAAUUCUAAUUUCCACUUCUCCUCCUUUUCAUAUUCCUAUUCAUCAAGCACAAGACUAAGAGAUAGUAGCAUAAUAGCAUUAUAACCAUACAUUUUCUUGUGGUUUGACUUAAUCUCACCAUGCUUUUUUGCAUCCUGUGAUCUUCCAAUUGUUGUGAACCAAACACCCAGAUUGGCAGAAAUCCUGUGUUUUUAAAUACUCUGUUUUGCACAUGCAUUCCUAUCCUAUUCCUGUCUAUUUCCUAUCCCUACAUUGUUAGAAUCCUCAAAUUCAAACAAGCCCUUACUCAAUUACUUCUGUUACAGAUAUGUGUCAAAGAAAACCUUGUGUGGUUUGUCUUGCUCCUGCGGCGCUGUGUUCCACCCCAGCUCAGCUGCUCCAAUGACGGAAGGGUUCACCACAGCAGGGAUCCGCUCUCCAGACUGUCUUUCGCCGCCUCAGAUCUUCUUCCCCGCCGCCGGCAGCCACGGCAACUGCAUUACCAUCAUCAACUGAGCAGAUGACCUUGAGGACUACACAGGUCUGCAAGAGAGGUCGCACUCUUCCAUGUCUGCUUACAUUAUGCGUCGCUUAAUAUGAUGACAUGCUACAUUAUCGUCGUGUUCACCUAUUAGACUCCGAGUCAGGUCCAAAUUAAUGCUGAAACUUGAGUUUUUAAAUGGUUGUGGGGUACAUAUUGAGGCAGCAAUCAGUACUAUCUGUCUACUAUCUGGUUAAUCUCCGGUGUCUACUAUGAGUUUCAUGUUGUGCAAACAAACAUUAAAGGAGCCAUUAUCUGUAUUUUUUAACUAAAGCUAUUAUCUGCCUGCUAUCAUUGGUUUUGGGUCUAUCCAUAGUUUGCUACCAUCACUCUGGAUUUGUGCAUGCACUCCUUACAUAAUCUCACUAUGUUUUAUUCCUAUGCAUGCAAGUUAUUGUACACAAUGGAACUGAUCAUGUAGAGCAAAAGGGCCGAGCCUUGCGUGGCAAUAAAAUUUCAUGCAGACGUCGUUCCAUGGUGGGCGCAAAGGCAGCCCCCCCCCCCCUCCACCCAUUUCGGAUCGUAAUCAAGAGGAACAUAACUGUUCUGAGGGGGGAUUCAGAAGGAGAAGACCACUCCUAUUUACCCCAUGAGGUCUUCGCUCUAACUUGGCAUGCUGAUGUUGUUAAUAUCAUGCAUAUGGUGCCUUGCAUUGCUUACUGUAUACAUUAAAGAUGUCAUCUGCUUAGUUUAGACAUGCUUUGUGUCAAUGCCAUCUGUUUAGUUUCUUUAUCGUAUAUGUGAAUCAUGCAAUGCCAUCUUGUCUAGCCAGGCAUCAUAUAUGUGAAUUUUGCAAUGCCACCCUGGUUAGCCAGUAAUCUUAUAUGUGAAUUAUAUCAUGCCAUCAUUUUUUUAUUACGUGUUAAAUUUGUCAACAAUUUUAGUACAUUCAAUUACUCUUCCUGUGCAUCAGCCAUUCAGCACGGUCAUGGAAAAAUCUGGAGUGGAAACAAGGUCUUUAGAGCAGACAAUGCUAUCUGACGAAGCGCAUGUCUUGCUGGUUACCGAUAGCUCCUUAGAGGAGGAUUCAAAGACAGAUGACCAUUCAUAUUUCCCCCCCCCCAAGGUGCAUGCCCUAACUUGGCAGGGUUAUGUUGCUCAUAUCGUGUGUAUGGUAUCUUGCAUUGCUAUGUCAUUUGCUUAGUUUAGACAUGCUUUGUGUGAAUGCCACCUGUUUAGUGUCUAAUUACCAUAUAUGUGAAUUAUGCAAUGCCAUCUUGUUGCAAGACAUUAUAUAUGUGAUUAUGCAAUGUUAUCUUGUUGCAAGGCAUUAUGUAUGUGAAUUAUGCAAUGCCAUGCUGUUUAGGCAAGCGUCAUAUAUGUGAAUUAUAUCAUGCCAUCCUUUUUUUUUGUUUUUCUCAUUGCUUUUGUCGACAAUGUUUGUAUAUUCAACUGCUCUUCCUGUGCAUCAGCCAUUUGAAUUGGUGUAUGGAGAAAUCUGGCGUGAAAACAAGGUCUUCAGAGCAGACAAUGCUACCUACUGAAGCAGAUAUCUUGCUGGUUACAGAUAGCUCUUCAGAGGAGGAUUCAGAGGCAGAUGACCAGUCCUAUUAUCCCCUGAGGUGUAUGCUCAAACUUGGCAGGGUUAUAUUACUCAUAUAAUGCAUAUGUUGUAUUAGAAUGCUUAGUUUUUACAUCAUAUACACAAUAUUGAAUGUCAUCUCCUUAGUUGACACAUCAUAUAUGCGAUUGCCCUCUGCUCACUUCCUUAGUAUAUAAAUCAUAUAUUUGAAUUAUGUCAUGCCAUGAUGUUUACAUAGACAGCAUGUAUCUGAAUUAUGGCAUGCCAACCCAUUUUCUAAAGACAUAAUAUAGUUAUAUCAUCUCAUCCUGUUUACAGAGUCAUCAUAUUUUAAAUUAUGUCAUUCUAUCCAUGAAUUAUAUCAUGCCAUCACGUUUCCAUCGACGGCAUGUUUGUGAUUUAUGGCAUGCCCACCACUUUAAUAGACACAUCGUAUAGUUAUAUCAUGUCAUCCUGUUUACAUAGUCAUCAUAUUUUGAAGUAUGUCAUUCUAUCAUGUUUAGUUAGCCAUCAUACAUGUGAAAUUGUGUCAUGCUAUCCUGUUUAAUUAGCCAUCAUAUAUGUGAAAUUAUGUCCUGCUAUUCUGUUUGCUUAGACAACAUAAAUGUGAAUUAUUUCAUGCCCUGUUUUCUUCCCUACUAUCCAUUGCACCUGUCUAUCUUACAAUGUCUAUACAUUCAAUUACUUUUCUUGUUUAUCAGCCAUUUCAAUUGGAGGGAGUGAUGGCAGUAUCUGUGGGAGUAAAAACACGGUCUUCAGAAAAGAUCGUGCUACCUGUCGAUGCAGAUAGAACCACGGUUGUACUUGCCCAAGAACUAGCCCCACCAAACAUAACCCACACUCAUGCAGAUUGUACCCCUACCCAGUUGGACAGAGAACCAGCUAAACCCCUUCUAACCCCAACCCCAGCAGAUAGACACCCAGUUCCCGUUGACACAGCACCGUCUCCACCACAGAGCACCCAAACACGAGCAGUUAGUAAGGCACCUGCAGUGCCCAAAUCACGAGGAGCACCACUCCGAACCCGAAGUCAACGCUUAAAGCAGAAGAAGAAUUGUUCUCAGGUCAGGUUCCGUAGCUAUGGUUCAUACUACUUUGCUCUUGCAUCACUGUAUUUACUGAUACCAACUAAUUUCAAAUUUGAAGGAUGCAAUUGAAACUCCAAUGGCGCAACAGGUAUAUUUUAAACCUGUUUCUUCAACGUGUUUGGCUGCUUGCUGUUGUAACUUGCUCUAUGUUGAUUUCGGUUUCAAUUGAAUAAACAGUUAUGUUCUCAUGCCGUGCACAUUACAAGUGUUGUUAUUGUUGUGUAGUUUCCCACACUUAUAUUCUGUCUAUGCUGCUUUGUCUUAAAUAGAUAUGAUUCGAACUAUAUCUAUCUUGAUUUGGCAACAUAAACUAGAAUGAUAUAGACCAUACAGUGACCAUACUACAUAGAUAUAUGUUUGUUUCAUGCUGUUAUCCUGUCCACCUUACUACUGAACUGGUUUACCAAAAUGAGUUUCAUAUACUACAUUGUAAACCUGAGAUGUGUUUGCUUGUUUCUCUUUUAGAACGCGGAUAAAAUAUUGGAGAAGAGUACCCUGUUAUGCAAUGGUAAAGGAAGUAAUGCAGAUAAGGUUCAAGAUAGUGAGACAUCCCUGUUGGUCUCCAAGAAAGCUGAUAAAAACUAUAUUGAAGACACUGAGACAACCCCAAAGUCAUGUCUUGAUGUAGUGUUCGAGUUACUGGCUACCACUGCUGGCACCAGCUCUUCGAACUCGUUGCCUAAAUCAGUUCGGCUUCUUGAGUCUCAACUUCAAGUUGAAAGACAUCGAUCAGAUGUUAUGCGACAGGAAGCCGAAGGACUGAGGAAGUCCCUGCAGAAUUCAGAUGCAUACUUUCUAGUGCAACAGCAAGCGCUGGAGGACUUAAGCGCCAAACAAGAGAAAGUUAAUAAGCUUGCUAAGCAUCUUGCUAGCAUUAUGGGUACCCAGGAUAUUGUUUCUUGAACUCUUCUGAAGUGGUUUCAGUUCUGGACUUGUUUUGUUGCGGCGUUUAUAUGCUGCUGUGUUCCCUAUAUUUGCACUGGUGGCGAACUUUGAUGCCCAGUGGAUGUAAUAUGUGUAAGAGCCGUGAUAGCCUAGUGUAAGUUGCUUGCUUAUUUAUUUCCUUGUUGUCUUGUUUAUUUGUUUGCUUGUAGUCAGUGCAGUUCUUUUUCUGCGGUUUGCUAGUGGCUGCAAUAACCUAUUUUUAAAAACUAGGCCACAAUAACCAUGGGCUAAUAUUUACUGUAGUGACACUGGGCCUCCUACGGGCCGUAGAAACAGUGGGCCUUCUACGGGCUGUAUAAACAUUGGGCCUUCUACGGGUCAUAGAAACAGUGGGCCUUCUACGGGCCGUAGAAACAAUGGGCCUUCUACGGGCCGUAGAAACAAUGGGCCUUCUACGGGUUGUAUCAUCAAUGGGCCUUAUACGGGCCGUAUGAUCAAUUGGCCAAACAUGGGCCAAACAGACCGCAUUCUGGCCGUAAACGGGCUAGAGUUGGAAUCGUCCGUUCAUGGGCCGACCAUAACGGGCCAUCGUUAAUAGGCCGUAUUUGAUGACGCUAUGAAAACGGCCCAACGUAUUAACGGACCACAAACGGGCCGACUGUAACCACGGGCUGAAUUUGGCCCACAAGCAGAAAAUGACAGUAACGGGCCGUAAGUAAACGAAUGCUGGAAAAUAGCCCAAGAAUAAAUGUGCUCUGAGAAGGCCGAAAGAUAACAUGGGCUGGAAACGACCCAACGGAAUAACGGGCCGUUAAUGGGUAUAAAGUGAUACACUGUUCUUUACGGGCCAGUUUCACCACGGGCUGUUAAUGGGUGUAAAGUGAUACACUGUUCAUUACGGGCCAGUUUCACCACGGGCCGUUAAUAGGCCAAGAGUUACAUAUGGCCUCAUAUGGGCCGAAAGACGUCAUGGGCCAUACAUGGGCCAGAAGUGAAAAUGGGCUGGAAUCAUAUUGGAUGGCCCAGAUGAUGCUACUGGGCCUAAUUUGAAUAGGGCGUAAUGGGCCUUGGGUUAGCGGGCUGUAAAUGGGCUAUAUGCGAACAGGCCGUUAACAGGCUUUCCAAGGGCCGGCCCGCCACCUUUUGACCAAGUCAAACGGGCCGGCCUUUUCAUAGGAAUGGGCCUCUGUUGGGCCGUGCCACGUGUUGACGUACCAUAGACGCCUUCUGUCCAAUGAGUGGAUGACAUCUGUCCCAGCGAUGAGCCGACACGUGUUUCCUCCAGCCAAUGAUGAUUUUACACGUGGAAAAUCCCCAUUGGUCGGGGCUGUUAACGGGUUAUCGGAUCCAAAACCUGACCCGAUAGCUUAACGGCGUUCCGUUACGGUGGAAGCCACGUGUCGGUCACCCUUGACGAAAGCACUUCUAUGACGCGCGAUUUAUCGUCAUGGAAGUGGACACUUCCGUGAUGAUAAUUUUGGUAAUGUCAUGGAACACUUAUACGACAGCACAGGUAUGACUAUCUUGAUUCUGUCAUAAAAUCGUCAUGGAUGUACAUGCAUGACUGAAAACGCGACCUACUGUGACAAACAUGUAUCAUCAUGGAAGUGUAUUUUUUUGUAGUGCGUGUUGCGGUUAUGCUUUAGAGACGGCUGCAUUCACGUUAAAUAGGGUAGCAACUGAAUCCGUUGACAUGACACCUUAUGAACUGUGGUUUGGCAAGAAACCCAAGUUGUCAUUUCUUAAAGUUUGGGGCUGCGAUGCUCAUGUAAAAAAGCUUCAACCAAAUCGGAGAAGUGUGUCUUCAUAGGAUACCCAAAGGAGACUAUUGGGUACACCUUCUAUCACAUAUCUGAAGGCAAGACAUUCAUUUCUAAAAAUGGAACCUUUCUAGAGAAGGAGUUUCUCUCUAAAGAAGUGAGUGCGAGGAAAGUAGAACUUGAUAAGGUAAAUGUACCUGCUCCCUUAUUGGAAAGUAGUUCAUCACAUAAAUCAGUUCCUGUCACUACUACAUCAAUUAGUGAGGAAGCUAAUGAUGAUGAUCGUGUAACUUCAGAUCAAGUUACUACUGAACCUCGUAGGUCAACCAGAGUAAGAUCCGCACCAGAGUGGUACGGUAAUCCCGUUCUGGAGGUCAUGUUACUUGACCAUGACGAACCUAUGAACUAUGAGGAAGCGAUGAUGAGCCCAGAUUCCGUAAAAUGGCUUGAGGCCAUGAAAUCUGAGAUGGGAUCCAUGUAUGAGAACAAAGUGUGGACUUUGGUUGACUUGCCCGAUUAUCGGCAAGCCAUCGAGAAUAAAUGGAUCUUCAAGAAGAAGACUGACGCUGACGGUAAUGUUACUAUCUACAAAGCUCGACUUGUUGCGAAAGGUUUUGACAAGUUCAAGGAGUUGACUACGAUGAGACCUUCUCACCCGUAGCGAUGCGUAAGACUGUCUGAUUCAUGGUAGCAAUUGCUGCAUUUUAUGAUUAUGAAAUUUGGCAAAUGGAUGUAAAGACUGCAUUCCUGAAUGGAUUUCUGGAAGAAGAGUUGUAUAUGAUGCAACCCGAAGGUUUUAUCAAUCCAAAGGAUGCUAACAAAGUGUGCAAGCUCCAGCGAUCCAUUUAUGGACUGGUGCAAGCAUCUUAGAGUUGGAAUAAAUGUUUUGAUAGUGUGAUCAAAGCAUAUGGCUUUAUACAGACUUUUGGAGAAGCCUGUAUUUACAAGAAAGUGAGUGGGAGCUCUAUAGCAUUUCUAAUAUUAUAUGUGGAUGACAUAUUGUUGAUUGGAAAUGAUAUAUAAUUUCUGGAUAGCAUAAAAGGACACUUGAAUAAGAGUUUUUCAAUGAAAGACCUCGGUGAAGCUACUUAUAUAUUGGGCAUCAAGAUCUAUAGAGAUAGAUUAAGACGCUUAAUUGGACUUUCACAAAGCACAUACCUUGAUAAAGUUUUGAAGAAGUUCAAAAUGGAUCAAGCAAAGAAAGGGUUCUUGCCUGUGUUACAAGGUGUGAAAUUGAGUCAGACUCAAUGCCCGACCACUGCAGAAGAUAGAGAGAAAAUGAAGGUCAUUCCCUAUGCUUCAGCCAUAGGUUCUAUCAUGUAUGCAAUGUUGUGUACCAGACCUGAUGUGUGCCUUGCUAUUAGUUUAGCAGGGAGGUACCAAAGUAAUCCAGGGGUGGAUCACUGGACAGCGGUCAAGAAAAUCCUGAAAUACCUGAAAAGGACUAAGGAUAUGUUUCUCGUUUAUGGAGGUGACAAAGAGCUCGUCAUAAAUGGUUACGUCGAUGCAAGCUUUGACACUGAUCCGGAUGACUCUAAAUCACAAACCGGAUAUGUAUUUAUAUUGAACGGUGGAACUGUAAGUUGGUGCAGUUCUAAGCAAAGCGUCGUGGCGGGAUCUACGUGUGAAGCGGAGUACUUAGUUGCUUCGGAAGCAGCAAAUGAAGGAGUCUGGAUGAAGGAGUUCAUAUCCGAUCUAGGUGUCAUACCUAGCGCAUCGGGUCCAAUGAAAAUCUUUUGUGACAAUACUGGUGCAAUUGCCUUGGCAAAGGAAUCCAGAUUUCACAAGAGAACCAAGCACAUCAAGAGACGCUUCAAUUCCAUCCGCGAUCAAGUCAUGGAGGGAGACAUAGAGAUUUGCAAGAUACAUACGGAUCUGAAUGUUGCCGACCCGUUGACUAAGCCUCUCUCACGAGCAAAAACAUGAUCGCACCAAGACUCCAUGGGUGUUAGAAUCAUUACUAUGUAAUCUAGAUUAUUGACUCUAGUGCAAGUGGGAGACUGAAGGAAAUAUGCCCUAGAGGCAAUAAUAAAGUUGUUAUUUAUAUUUCCUUAUAUCAUGAUAAAUGUUUAUUAUUCAUGCUAGAAUUGUAUUAACCGGAAACUUAGUACAUGUGUGAAUACAUAGACAAACAGAGUGUCACUAGUAUACCUCUACUUGACUAGCUCAUUGAAUCAAAGAUGGUUAAGUUUCGUAACCAUAGACAUGAGUUGUCAUUUGAUUAACGGGGUCACAUCAUUAGAGAAUGAUGUGAUUGACUUGACCCAUCCGUUAGCUUAGCAUGAUGAUCAUUUAGUUUGUUGCUAUCUCUUUCUUCAUGACUUAUAGAUGUUCCUACGACUAUGAGAUUAUGCAACUCCCGAAUACCGGAGGAACACUUUGUGUGCUAUCAAACGUCACAACGUAACUGGGUGAUUAUAAAGCUGCUCUACAGGUGUCUCUGAUGGUGUUUGUUGAGUUGGCAUAGAUCGAGAUUAGGAUUUGUCACUCCGACUUUCGGAGAGGUAUCUCUGGGCCCUCUCGGUAAUGCACAUCACUAUAAGCCUUGCAAGCAAUGUAACUAAUGAGUUAGUUGUAGGAUGAUGCAUUACGGAACGAUUAAAGAGACUUGCCGGUAACGAGAUUAAACUAGGUAUUGAGAUACCGACGAUCGAAUCUCGGGCAAGUAACAUACCGAUUACAAAGGGAACAACGUAUGUUGUUAUGCGGUUUGACCGAUAAAGAUCUUCGUAGAAUAUGUAGGAACCAAUAUGAGCAUCCAGGUUCCGCUAUUGGUUAUUGACCGGAGAUGAGUCUCGGUCAUGUCUACAUAGUUCUCGAACCCAUACGGUCCGCACACUUAACGUUCGGUGACGAUCGGUAUUAUGAGUUUAUGUGUUUUUAUGUACUGAAGGUUGUUCAGAGUCCCAGAUGUUAUCACGGACAUGACGAGGAGUCUCAAAAUGGUCGAUACAUAAAGAUCGAUAUAUUGGAUGGCUAUGUUUGGACACCGGAAUGGUUCCGGGUGAGUUCGGGCAUUUACAGGAGUACCGGGAGGUUACCGGAACCCCCCGGGGAGUAUAUGGGCCUUAUUGGGCCUUAGUGGGAGAGAGGAGGAGGCGCCCCCCCCCCAAGCCCAAUCCGAAUUGGGGUGGGGGGCCGGCCCCCCUUUCCUUCUCCCUCUCUCCUCCUUCCUUCCUCUCCUACUCCAAUUAGGGAAGGGGGAAUCCUACUCCCGGUGGGAGUAGGACUCCCCCUUGGGCGCGCCAUAGAGAAGGCCGGCCCUCCCCUCCUCCACUCCUUUAUAUACGGGGGAGGGGGCACCCCAUAGACACACAAGUUGAUUGUUUAGCCGUGUGCCGUGCCCCCCUCCAUAGAUUUCCACCUCGGUCAUAUCGUUGUAGUGCUUAGGCAAAGCCCUGCGUCGGUAACUUCAUCAUCACCGUCAUCACGCCGUCGUGUUGACGAUCCUCUCCCUCGACCUCAGCUGGAUCUAGAGUUCGCGGGACGUCACCGAGCUGAACAUGUGCAGAUCGCGGAGGUGUCGUACUUUCGGUACUAGGAUCGGUCGGAUCGUGAAGACGUGCGACUACAUCAACCGCGUUGUCAUAACUCUUCCGCUUUCGGUCUACGAGGGUACAUGGACAACACUCUCCCCUCUCAUUGGUAUGCAUCACCUAGAUGGAUCUUGCAUGUGCAUAGGAAUUUUUUUUGAAAUUACUGCGUUCCCCAACACAUACACUCAAUAUAAAUGGUUUAUUGAAUCUUGAUCGUAGUGAUACACAUAUUCAUAAUAUUGAAGCCAAAAGAUGCAAAGUUAAUAAUGAUAGUGCAACUUAUUUAUGGCACUGCCGUUUAGGUCAUAUUGGUGUAAAGCGCAUGAGGAAACUCCAUGCUGAUGGGCUUUUGGAAUCACUUGAUUAUGAAUCACUUCAUGCUUGCGAACCAUGCCUCAUGGGCAAGAUGACUAAGACUCCGUUCUCCAAAACAAUGGAGCGAGCAACUGACUUAUAUGAAAUAAUACAUACUGAUGUAUGCGAUCCGAUGAGUGUUGAGGCUCGCGGCGGGUAUCAUUAUUUUCUAACCUUCAUGGAUGAUUUGAGCAGAUAUGGGUAUAUCUACUUGAUGAAACAUAAGUCAGAAACAUUUGAAAAGUUCAAAGAAUUUCAUAGUGAAGAGGAAAAUCAUCGUAACAAGAAAAUAAAGUUUCUACGGUCUAAUCGUGGAGACAAAUAUUUGAGUUACGAGUUUGGUCUUCAAUUAAACAAUGUGGAAUAGUUUCACGAACUCAUGCCACCUGGAACACCACAGCAUAAUGGUGUGUCCGAACGUCAUAACAAUACUUUAUUGGAUAUAGUGCAAUCUAUGAUGUCUCUUACCGAUUUACCACUAUCGUUUUGGGGUUAUGCAUUAGAGACAGCUACAUUCACAUUAAAUAGGGCACCGUCUAAUCCAUUGAGACGACACUGUAUGAACUAUGGUUUGGCAAGAAACCUAAGCUGUCGUUUCUUAAAGUUUGGGGUUGCGAUGCUUAUGUGAAAAAGUUUCAACCUGAUAAGCUCGAACCCAAAUCGGAGAAGUGCGUCUUCAUAGGAUACCCAAAAGAAAAUGUUGGGUACACCUUCUAUCACAGAUCCGAAGGCAAGAUCUUUGUUGCUAAGAAUGGAUUCUUUCUAGAGAAGAAGUUUCUCUCGAAAGAAGUGAGUGGGAGGAAAGUAGAACUUGAUGAGGUAAUUGUACCUUCUCCCGAAUUGGAAAGUAGUUCAUCACAGAAAUCAGUUCCAGUGAUGCCUACACCAAUUAGUGAGGAAGUUAAUGAUGAUGAUCAUGAAACUUCAGAUCAAUUUACUACCGAACCUCGUAGGUCAACUAGAGUACGUUCCGCACCAGAGUGGUACGGUAAUCCGGUUCUGGAAGUCAUGUUACUAGACCAUGACGAACCUACGAACUAUGAGGAAGCGAUGAUGAGCCCUGAUGACCCACAAGUAUAGGGGAUCUAUCAUAGUCCUUUCAAUAAGUAAGAGUGUCGAACCCAACGAGGAGCAGAAGGAAAUGAUAAGCGGUUUUCAGCAAGGUAUUCUCUGCAAGCACUGAAAUAAUAGGUAACAGAUAGUUUUGUGAUAGGAUAAUUGGUAACGAGCAACAAGUAACAAAAGUAAAUAAAGUGCAGCAAGGUGGCCCAAUCCUUUUUGUAGCAAAGGACAAGCCUGGACAAACUCUUAUAUAGAGAAAAGCGCUCCCGAGGACACAUGGGAAUUAUCGUCAAGCUAGUUUUCAUCACGUUCAUAUGAUUCGCGUUCAGUAGUUUGAUAAUUUGAAAUUAACCAAAUCAGCCUCUUACGAAGCAACGCAUAAACUAGGGUUUAAGCUUUUGUCACUCUAGCAACCCAUCAUCUACUUAUUACAUCCCAAUGCCUUCCUCUAGGCCCAAAUAAUGGUGAAGUGUCAUGUAGUCGACGUUCACAUGACACCACUAGAGGAGAGACAACAUACAUCUCAUCAAAAUAUCGAACGAAUACCAAAUCCACAUGACUACUAAUAGCAAGACUUCUCCCAUGUCCUCAGGAACAAACGUAACUACUCACAAAGCAAAUUCAUGUUCAUAAUCAGAGGAGUAUUAAUAUGCAUAUAGGAUCUGAACAUAUGAUCUUCCACCAAAUAAACCAACUAGCAUCAACUACAAGGAGUAAUCAACACUACUAGCAACCUACAGGUACCAAUCCCAGACUUGGAGACAAGAAUUGGAUACAAGAGAUGAACUAGGGUUUGAGAGGAGAUGGUGCUGGUGAUGAUGUUGAUGGAGAUUUCCCUCUCCAGAUGAGAGGAGCGUUGGUGAUGACGAUGGCGAUGAUUUCCCCCUCCCGGAGGGAAGUGUCCCCGGCAGAACAGCUCUGCCGGAGCCCUAGAUUGGUUCUGCCAAGGUUCCGCCUCGUGGCGGCGGAGUCUCGUCCCGAAAGCUUGCUUAUGAUUUUUCUUCGGAUGAAAGACUUCAUAUAGCAGAAAAUGGGCACCGGAGGGCCAAAAGGGGGCCCACGAGGCAGGGGGCACGCCCAGGGGGUAGGGCGCACCCCCCACCCUCGUGGACAGGUGGAUGCCCCCCUGAUGUGGAUUCUUCUUCCAGUAUUUUUUAUUAUUUCCAAAAAUAACUUUCGUGGAGCUUCAGGACUUUUGGAGUUGUGCAGAAUAGGUCUCUAAUAUUUGCUCCUUUUCCAGCCCAGAAUUCCAGCUGCCGGCAUUCUCCCUCCUUAUGUAAACCUUGUAAAAUAAGAGAGAAUAGGCAUAAGUAUUGUGACAUAAUGUGUAAUAACAGCCCAUAAUGCCAUAAAUAUCAAUAUAAAAGCAUGAUGCAAGAUGGACGUAUCAACUCCCCCAAGCUUAGACCUCGCUUGUCCUCAAACGAAAGCCGAUAACGAUAAAUAUGUCCACAUGUUUAGAGGUAGAGGUGUCGAUAAAAUAAAAUACGAACAUGAGGGCAUCAUGAUUAUUCUCAUAACAGCAACAUAUAUGGAUAUUGUCAUAUGAUUUCUUAUUCUCAAGUAAUAAUCUAUUCACAAUGCAAAGUACGAAUCAGAAACUUUAUUGGGAACUAACAAACUAUAAUCUCAGUCAUUGAGGCAAUUGCAAUUUAUCAUAACAUCAGAAAGAGUCUAUGUCAGAGCUUUCUAGCAAGUCCACAUACUCAACUAUCAUUUAGUCUUUCAUAAUUGCUAACACUCACGCAAUACUUGUGGUUACGGAGUUUUAAUCAGACGCAGAGAAAGAUAGGGGCUUAUAGUUUCGCCUCCCAACCUUUUACAUCAAGGGUAAUGUCAACAAUAAUAACUCAUGCUAACCCACAUCCAAUUAGAUAUAUAUAUAUAUAUAUAUAUAUCAGGAUCUUUCCAACAUCUUGUGCUUGCCAAAGGAUAAAAUGUAUAAAGGAAAGGUGAAGAUCACCAUGACUCUUGCAUAAGGUAGAAGAUAAUAAUAAUAGAUAGGCCCUUCGCAGAGGGAAGCAGAGGUUGCCAUGCGGUUUCAGGGUUGGAUGCACAAAAUCUUAAUGCGAAAGAACGUCACUUUAUAUUGCCACUUGUGAUAUGAACCUUUAUUAUGCAGUCCGUCGCUUUUAUUUCUUCCACAUCACAAGAUCGUAUAAAGCUUAUUUCCUCCACACCAAUCAAUCAUACAUUUUUAAAGAGCAAUUUUUAUUGCUUGCACCGAUGAUAACUUACUUGAAGGAUCUUACUCAAUCCAUAGGUAGAUAUGGUGGACUCUCAUGGCAAAACUGGUUUAAGGGUUUUUGGAAGCACAAGUAGUAUCUCUACUUGGUGCAAAGAAUUUGGCUAGCAUGAGGGGGAAAGGCAAGCUCAACAUGUUGGAUGAUCCAUGAUAAUAUACUUUAUCUCAGAUAUAAGAAAACAUAACCCAUUACGUUGUCUUCCUUGUCCAACAUCAACUCUUUAGCAUGUCAUAUUUUAAUGAGUGCUCCCAAUCAUAAAAGAUGUCCAAGAUAGUAUAUUUAUAUGUGAAACGUCUCUUUCUUUAUUACUUCCUAUUAAUUGCAACGAUGACCAAAGCUAUGUUUGCCAACUCUCAACAACUUUUAAUCAUCAUACUCUUUCUAUGUGAAGUCAUUACUAUCCAUAAGAUCAAUAUGAUCUCUUUGUUUCUUUUUAUUCUUUUCUCUUUUCUUUUAUUCACUCAAGAUCAUAGCAAGAUAAUCAAGCCCUUGACUCAACACUAAUCUUUAUUAUAUAUAGCUCACGGACUCGAUUACAUAGAAAGAUCAUAAAGCAAAACUCAAAACUAGAUCAUACCAAAACUUUAUUCUACUAGAUCAAGAUACUACUAAUAGGAUCGAACUAAGAAAAACGGUAAAGAUAGGAGAUGUGGUGAUGAUACGAUACCGGGGAAUAUCCCCCAAGCUUGGCAGUUGCCAAAGGGAGUGCCCAUACCCAUGUGAUUAUGUUUCCUUUGCUGGUGAAGAAGAUGGUGGUGAUGAUGGGUAGUCGCACAUCGAGCGUAAGAGAUCCUCCAACUUGCGGAUAAUGCCCUUGAGUGCAAUGAUACGCUCCUUCAACAAAAUAUGUUCACGUGUGAGAUACUUGUUUUGUAUACGAGCUAACUCAAUCAUCUUGAAAGCUUCGACCUCAGUUGGGGUGAGAAGAUUGUGAUCAAGUUGAAGGAUGUCUUCUGUUGCCGGAACUUGGUCCUCCGUGGCCUUCUUGAUCCCUUCAUCCUUGCUGAUCUCCAUGGGUUCUUCCCUCUUCAGCUCUGUCUUCAUUAGCCAAGCAUCGUUGUCACCAUUGUUGGAGGAGGGGGACGACAUGCCUGGCCUUGACAACCCUGACAGAAAACAGCUCGAAACAAGAACAGAGGAUAAUUGCGUGAUACGGUGGUCAAAACCUUCGGGAGAUUAUAUAGUGAAUUUUUACCGACCAAAAUACGUAUCGUGCAAGAAAACGGAGUCCGGAGAGCGCACGAGGUGCCCACGAGGUAGGGGGACGCACCUAGUAGGGUAGGGCGCGCCCUCCACCCUCGUGGAGGCCUCGUGUCCUUCCCGGACUGCUUCUUAUUUUUCUAUUUUUCUAAAUAUUCCAAAACGGAGAAAAAUUGCCAUUAGAACUGUUUUGGAGUCGGUUUACUUACCGUACCACAUACCUAUUCCUUUUCGGAGUCUGAAACAUUCCGGAAAGUGUCCCUUAUGUAUUCCUCUGGGGUUACGGUUUCAAUAACAUUGGUUUUGACAUUUAUGGGAUUACCUGGGAUAUAAUGUUUAAUUCUUUGACCGUUCACCACCUUCGGAUUUGUGCCUUCGAAGUUGUUGAUUUUUAUGGCACCGGAACGAUAGAGCUCCUCGAUAACGUAAGGGCCUUCCCAUUUAGAGAGAAGUUUUCCUGCAAAAAAUAUUAAACGAGAGUUGUAUAGCAAUACAUAAUAACCUACAUUAAACUCACGCUUUUGUAUCAUUUUGUCAUGCCAUCUUUUAACUUUUUCUUUAAACAAUUUGGCAUUCUCAUAGGCUUGGGUUCUCCAUUCAUCAAGUGAGCUAAUGUCAAAUAACCUCUUCUCACCGGCAAGUUUGAAAUCAUAGUUGAGCUUUAAUAGCCUAAUAAGCCUUAUGUUAUAGUUCGAGAGGUAAAUGACAUGCUUUUCCAUAAACCAUUUUAUACGGAGACAUACCAAUAGGAUUUUUAUAUGCAGUUCUAUAGGCCCAUAAUGCAUCAUCAAGUUUCUUGGACCAAUUCGUUCUAGAUCUUAUUAACAGUCUUUUGCAAAAUUAAUUUGAGUUCUCUAUUGCUCAAUUCUACUUGACCACUAGACUGUGGGUGAUAAGGAGAUGCAAUUCUAUGAUUAACAUCAUACUUAGCAAGCAUUUUACGGAAAGCACCAUGAAUAAAAUGUGAACCACUAUCAGUCAUUAAAUAUCUAGGGACUCCAAACCUCGGAAAAAUAACUUCCUUAAGCAUCUUAAUAGAGGUGUUAUGAUCAGCACUACUAGUUGGAAUAGCUUCUACCCACUUAGUAACGUAAUCAACAACAACUAAAAUAUGUGUGUAUCCAUUAGAGGCAGGAAACGGUCCCAUAUAAUCAAACCCCCAAACAUCGAAUGGUUCAAUAACAAAUGAAUAAUUCAUAGGCAUUUCUUGACGUCUACUAAUAUUACCAAUUCUUUGACAUUCAUCACAAGAUAAGACAAACUUACGGGAAUCCUUGAAGAGAGUAGGCCAAUAAAAACCGAAUUGCAAUACCUUAUGUGCAGUUCUAUCUCCAGCAUGGUGUCCUCCAUAAGCCUCGGAAUGAUACUUGCGUAGGAUCUGUUGCUGUUCCUGCUCAGGUACACAACAUCUAAUAACACCAUCUACUCCUUCUUUAUAAAGAUGUGGGUCAUCCCAAAAGUAAUGUCUCAAAUCAUAGAAAAACUUUUUCUUUUGCUGGUAUGUGAAACUAGGUGGUAUAAAUUUAGCAACAAUGUAAUUAUCAUAAUCAACAUACCAUGGAGUAGUACGAGAAGCAUUUAUGACAUUUAAUUGUUCAUCAGGGAAGCUAUCAUCAAUAGGUAGUGGGUCAUCAAGAACAUUUUCUAACCUAGACAAGUUAUCUGCAACGGAGUUCUCAGCUCCCUUUCUAUCAAUAAUAUGCAAAUCAAAUUCUUGUAACAAGAGAACCCAUCUAAUAAAUCUAGGUUUAGCAUCUUUCUUUUCCAUAAGAUAUUUAAUAACAGCAUGAUCAGUGUGAAUAGUUACUUUAGAAUCAACAAUAUAGGGUCUGAACUUAUCACAAGCAAAUACAACUGCUAAGAAUUCUUUUUCAGUAGUAGCAUAAUUUCUCUGAGCAUUGUCUAGAGUUUUACUAGCGUAUUGAAUAACAUUUAAUUUCUUAUCAACUCUUUGCCCUAGAACAGCACCUACAGCAUAAUCACUAGCAUCACACAUGAUUUCAAAAGGUAAAUUCCAAUCAGGUGGCUGAACAAUAGGUGCAGAUAUCAAUGCUUUCUUAAGUAUUUCAAAUGCUUCUACACAAUCAUCAUCAAAGACAAAUGGUAUAUCUUUUUGUAAUAAAUUAGUCAGAGGCCGAGAAAUUUUUGAGAAAUCAUUAAUGAACCUCCUAUAAAAACCGGCGUGACCGAGGAAACUUCUUAUACCUUUGAUGUCCUUGGGACAUGGCAUCUUUUCAAUAGCAUCAACCUUAGCUUUAUCAACUUCAAUACCUCUAUCAGAAACUUUAUGCCCCAAGACAAUACCUUCAUUAACCAUAAAGUGGCACUUUGUUGGGGAACGUAGUAAUUUCAAAAAAAUUCCUACGCACACGCAAGAUCAUGGCGAUGCAUAGCAACGAGAGGGGAGAGUGUUGUCCACGUACCCUCGUAGACCGAAAGCGGAAGCGUUAACACAACGCGGUUGAUGUAGUCGUACGUCUUCACGAUCCGACCGAUCAAGUACCGAACGCACGGCACCUCCGAGUUCAGCACACGUUCAGCUCGAUGACAUCCCUCGAACUCUGAUCCAGCCGAGUGUUGAGGGAGAGUUUCGUCAGCACGACGGUGUGGUGACGAUGAUGAUGUUCUAACGACGCAGGGCUUCGCCUAAACACCGCUACGAUAUUAUCGAGGUGUAAUAUGGUGGAGGGGGCACCGCACACGGCUAAAAGAUCGUUGAUCAAUUGUGUGUCUAGAGGUGCCCCCCUGCCCCCGUAUAUAAAGGAGCAAGGGGGAGGCCACCGGCCAAGGAGGAGAGGCACGCCAGGAGGAGUCCUACUCCUACCGGGAGUAGGACUCCCCCCCCUUUUCCAUGUUGGACUAGGAGAGAGAGGGGGAAGAGGUGGAGGGGAGGAAGGAAGGGGGGGCGCCGCCCCCCUCUCCUUGUCCUAUUCGGACUGGGGGGAGGGGCGCGCGGCCCUGCCCUGGCCUCCUCUCCUCUCUUCCACCUAGGCCCACUAAGGCCCAUUAAGUUACCGGGGGGGUCUGGUAACCUCCCGGUACUCCGGAAAAAUCCCGAUUUCACCCGGAUCACUUCCGAUGUCCAAACAUAGGUUUCCAAUAUAUCAAUAUUUAUGUCUCGACCAUUUCAAGACUCCUUGUCAUGUCCGUGAUCACAUCCGGGACUCCGAACAACCUUCGGUACAUCAAAACAUAUAAACUCAUAAUAUAACUGUCAUCGUAACGUUAAGCGUGCGGACCCUACGGGUUUGAGAACUAUGUAGACAUGACCGAGACACCUCUCCGGUCAAUAACCAAUAGCGGAACCUGGAUGCUCAUAUUGGUUCCCACAUAUUCUACGAAGAUCUUUAUCGGUCAGACCGCAUAACAACAUACGUUGUUCCCUUUGUCAUCGGUAUGUUACUUGCCCGAGAUUCGAUCGUCGGUAUUUCGAUACCUAGUUCAAUCUCGUUACCGGCAAGUCUCUUUACUCGUUCCGUAAUACAUCAUCCCGCAACUAACUCAUUAGUUACAAUGCUUGCAAGGCUUAUAGUGAUGUGUAUUACUGAGUGGGCCCAGAGAUACCUCUCCGACAAUCGGAGUGACAAAUCCUAAUCUCGAAAUACGCCAACCCAACAAGUACCUUUGGAGACACCUGUAGAGCACCUUUAUAAUCACCCAGUUACGUUGUGACGUUUGGUAGCACACAAAGUGUUCCUCUGGUAAACGGGAGUUGCAUAAUCUCAUAGUCAUAGGAACAUGUAUAAGUCAUGAAGAAAGCAAUAGCAACAUACUAAACGAUCGAGUGCUAAGCUAACGGAAUGGGUCAAGUCAAUCACAUCAUUCUCCUAAUGAUGUGAUCCCGUUAAUCAAAUGACAACUCAUGUCUAUGGCUAGGAAACAUAACCAUCUUUGAUCAACGAGCUAGUCAAGUAGAGGCAUACCAGUGGCACUCUGUUUGUCUAUGUAUUCACACAUGUAUUAUGUUUCCAGUUAAUACAAUUCUAGCAUGAAUAAUAAACAUUUAUCAUGAUAUAAGGAAAUAGAUAAUAACUUUAUUAUUGCCUCUAGGGCAUAUUUCCUUCAGUCUCCCACUUGCACUAGAGUCAAUAAUCUAGAUUACACAGUAAUGAUUCUUACACCCAUGGAGUCUUGGUGCUGAUCGUGAUUUGCUUGUGGAAGAGGCUUAGUCAACGGGUCUGCAACAUUCAGAUCCGUAUGUAUCUUGCAAAUUUCUAUGUCUCCCACCUACCCUAAAUCCCGGAUGGAAUUGAAGCGUCUUUUGAUGUGCUUGGUUCUCUUGUGAAAUCUGGAUUCCUUUGCUAAGGCAAUUGCACCAGUAUUGUCACAAAAGAUUUUCAUUGGUCCCGAUGCACUAGGUAUGACACCUAGAUCGGAUAUGAACUCCUUCAUCCAGACUCCUUCAUUUGUUGCUUCCGAAGCAGCUAUGUAUUCCGCUUCACACGUAGAUCCCGCCACGACACUUUGCUUAGAACUGCACCAACUGACAGCUCCACCGUUCAAUGUAAACACGUAUCCGGUUUGCGAUUUAGAAUCAUCCGGAUCAGUGUCAAAGCUUGCAUCAAUGUAACCAUUUACGAUGAGCUCUUUGUCACCUCCAUAAAUGAGAAACAUAUCCUUAGUCCUUUUCAGGUAUUUCAGGAUGUUCUUGACCGCUGUCCAGUGAUCCACUCCUGGAUUACUUUGGUACCUCCCUGCUAAACUUAUAGCAAGGCACACAUCAGGUCUGGUACACAGCAUUGCAUACAUGAUAGAGCCUAUGGCUGAAGCAUAGGGAACAUCUUUCAUCUUCUCUCUAUCUUCUGCAGUGGUCGGGCAUUGAGUCUUACUCAAUCUCACACCUUGUAGUACAGGCAAGAACCCUUUCUUUGCUUGAUCCCUUUUGAACUUCUUCAAAACUUUGUCAAGGUAUGUGCUUUGUGAAAGUCCAAUUAAGCGUCUUGAUCUAUCUCUAUAGAUCUUGAUGCCCAAUAUAUAUACAGCUUCACCGAGGUCUUUCAUUGAAAAACUCUUAUUCAAGUAUCCCUUUAUGUUAUCCAGAAAUUCUAUAUCAUUUCCAAUUAACAAUAUGUCAUCCACAUAUAAUAUCAGAAAUGCUACUGAGCUCCCACUCACUUUCUUGUAAAUACAGGCUUCUCCAAAAGUCUGUAUAAAACCAAAUGCUUUGAUCACACUAUCAAAGCGUUUAUUCCAACUCCGAGAGGCUUGCACCAGUCCAUAAAUGGAUCGCUGGAGCUUGCACACUUUGUUAGCUCCCUUUGGAUCGACAAAACCUUCUGGUUGCAUCAUAUACAACUCUUCUUCCAGAAAUCCAUUCAGGAAUGCAGUUUUGACAUCCAUUUGCCAAAUUUCAUAAUCAUAAAAUGCGGCAAUUGCUAACAUGAUUCGGACAGACUUAAGCAUCGCUACGGGUGAGAAGGUCUCAUCGUAGUCAAUCCCUUGAACUUGUCGAAAACCUUUCGCAACAAGUCGAGCUUUAUAGACAGUAACAUUACCGUCAGCGUCAGUCUUCUUCUUGAAGAUCCAUUUAUUUUCAAUGGCUUGCCAAUCAUCGGGCAAGUCAACCAAAGUCCAUACUUUGUUCUCAUACAUGGAUCCCAUCUCGGAUUUCAUGGCCUCAAGCCAUUUUGCGGAAUCUAGGCUCACCAUCGCUUCUUCAUAGUUCGUAGGUUCGUCAUGGUCUAGUAACAUAACCUCCAGAACAGGAUUACCGUACCACUCUGGUGCGGAUCUUAAUCUGGUUGACCUAUGAGGUUCAGUAAUAACUUGAUCUGAAGUUUCAUGAUCAUUGUCAUUAACUUCCUCACUAAUUGGUGUAGGUGUCGCAGAAACUGAUUUCUGUGAUAAUUUACUUUCCAAUAAGGGAGCAGGUACAGUUACCUCAUCAGUUCUACUUUCCUCCCACUCACUUCUUUCGAGAGAAACUCCUUCUCUAGAAAGGAUCCAUUCUUAGCAACGAAUGUCUUCCCUUCGGAUCUGUGAUAGAAGGUGUACCCAAUAGUCUCCUUUGGGUAUCCUAUGAAGACACAUUUCUCCGAUUUAGGUUCGAGCUUAUCAGGUUGAAGUUUCUUCACAUAAGCAUCGCAACCCCAAACUUUAAGAUACGACAACUUUGGUUUCUUGCCAAACCAUAGUUCAUAAGGUGUCGUUUCAACGGAUUUUGAUGGUGCCCUAUUUAGAGUGAAUGCAGCCGUCUCUAAAGCAUAACCCCAAAACGAUAGCGGUAAAUCAGUAAGAGACAUCAUAGAUCGCACCAUAUCUAAUAAAGUACGAUUACAACGUUCGGACACACCAUUACGUUGUGGUGUUCCGGGUGGCGUGAGUUGCGAAACUAUUCCGAUUCAAAUGUAGACCAAACUCGUAACUCAAAUAUUCUCCUCCACCAUCUGAUCGUAGAAACUUUAUUUUCUUGUUACGAUGAUUUUCAACUUCGCACUGAAAUUCUUUGAACUUUUCAAAUGUUUCAGACUUAUGUUUCAUUAAGUAGAUAUACCCAUAUCUGCUCAAAUCAUCGGUGAAGGUGAGAAAAUAACGAUAUCCGCCACGAGCCUCAAUAUUCAUCGGACCACAUACAUCUGUAUGUAUGAUUUCCAACAAAUUAGUUGCUCUCUCCAUAGUACCGGAGAACGGUGUUUUAGUCAUCUUGCCCAUGAGACACGGUUCGCAAGUACCAAGUGAUUCAUAAUCAAGUGAUUCCAAAAGUCCAUCAUUAUGGAGUUUCUUCAUGCGCUUUACACCGAUAUGACCUAAACGGCAGUGCCACAAAUAAGUUGCACUAUCAUUAUCAACUCUGCAUCUUUUGGCUUCGACAUUAUGAAUAUGUGUGUCACUAAUACCGAGAUUCAUUAAAAAUAGACCACUCUUCAAGGGUGCAUGACCAUAAAAGAUAUUACUCAUAUAAAUAGAACAACCAUUAUUCUCUGAUUUAAAUGAAUAACCGUCUCGCAUCAAACAAGAUCCAGAUAUAAUGUUCAUGCCCAACGCUGGCACCAAAUAACAAUUAUUUAGGUCUAAUGCUAAUCCCGAAGGUAGAUGUAGAGGUAGCAUGCCGACGGCGAUCACAUCGACUUUGGAACCAUUUCCCACGCGCAUCGUCACCUCGUCCUUAACCAAUCUUCGCUUAAUCCGUAGCCCCUGUUUCGAGUUGCAAAUAUUAGCAACAAAACUAGUAUCAAAUACCCAGGUGCUACUGCGAGCAUUAGUAAGGUACACAUCAAUAACAUGUAUAUCACAUAUACCUUUGUUCACCUUGCCAUCCUUCUUAUCCGCCAAAUACUUGGGGCAGUUCCGCUUCCAGUGACCAGUCUGCUUGCAGUAGAAGCACUCAGUCUCAGGCUUAGGUCCAGACUUGGGUUUCUUCUCCUGAACAGCAACUUGCUUGUUGUUCUUCUUGAAGUUCCCCUUCUUCUUCCCUUUGCCCUUUUUCUUGAAACUAGUGGUCUUAUUGACCAUCAACAUUUGAUGCUCCUUUUUGAUUUCUACCUCCGCUGCCUUUAGCAUUGCGAAGAGCUCGGGAAUUGUCUUAUUCAUCCCUUGCAUGUUAUAGUUCAUCACGAAGCUCUUGUAGCUUGGUGGCAGUGAUUGAAGAAUUCUGUCAAUGACGCUAUCAUCCGGAAGAUUAACUCCCAGUUGAAUCAAGUGAUUAUUAUACCCAGACAUUUUGAGUAUAUGCUCACUGACAAAACUAUUCUCUUCCACCUUGCAGAUGUAGAACUUAUUGGAGACUUCAUAUCUCUCAAUCCGGGCAUUUGCUUGAAAUAUUAACUUCAACUCCUGGAACAUCUCAUAUGCUCCAUGACGUUCAAAACGUCGUUGAAGACCCGGUUCUAAGCCGUAAAGCAUGGCACACUGAACUAUCGAGUAGUCAUCAGCUUUGCUCUGCCAGACGUUCAUAACUUCUGGUGUUGCUCUUGCAGCAGGCCUGUUACCCAGCGGUGCUUCCAGGACGUAAUUCUUCUGUGCAGCAAUGAGGAUAAUCCUCAAGUUACGGACCCAGUCCGUGUAAUUGCUACCAUCAUCUUUCAACUUUGCUUUCUCAAGGAACGCAUUAAAAUUCAACGGAACAACAGCACAGGCCAUCUAUCUACAAUUAACAUAGACAAGCAAGAUACUAUCAGGUACUAAGUUCAUGAUAAAUUCAAGUUCAAUUAAUCAUAUUACUUAAGAACUCCCACUUAGAUAGACAUCCCUCUAAUCCUCUAAGUGAUUACGUGAUCCAUAUCAACUAAACCAUGUCCGAUCAUCACGUGAGAUGGAGUAGUUUCAAUGGUGAACAUCACUAUGUUGAUCAUAUCUACUAUAUAAUUCACGCUCGACCUUUCGGUCUCCGUGUUCCGAGGCCAUAUCUGCAUAUGCUAGGCUCGUCAAGUUUAACCUGAGUAUUCCGCGUGUGCAACUGUUUUGCACCCGUUGUAUUUGAACGUAGAGCCUAUCACACCCGAUCAUCACGUGGUGUCUCAGCAUGAAGAACUUUCGCAACGGUGCAUACUCAGGGAGAACACUUUUAUCUUGAAAUUUUAGUGAGAGAUCAUCUUAAAAUGCUACCGUCAAUCAAAGCAAGAUAAGAUGCAUAAAAGAUAAACAUCACAUGCAAUCAAUAUAAGUGAUAUGAUAUGGCCAUCAUCAUCUUGUGCUUGUGAUCUCCAUCUCCGAAGCACCGUCAUGAUCACCAUCGUCACCAGCGCGACACCUUGAUCUCCAUCGUAGCAUCGUUGUCGUCUCGCCAACUAUUGCUUUUACGACUAUCGCUACCGCUUAGUGAUAAAGUAAAACAAUUACAUGGCGAUUGCAUUUCAUACAAUAAAGCGACAACCAUAUGGCUCCUGCUAGUUGCCGAUAACUCGGUUACAAAACAUGAUCAUCUCAUACAAAUAAAAUAUAGCAUCAUGUCUUGACCAUAUCACAUCACAACAUGCCCUGCAAAAACAAGUUAGACGUCCUCUACUUGGUUGUUGCAAGUUUUACGUGGCUGCUACGGGCUUAGCAAGAACCGUUCUUACCUACGCAUUAAAACCACAAUGAUAGUUUGUCAAGUCGGUGCUGUUUUAACCUUCGCAAGGACCGGGCGUAGCCACACUCGGUUCAACUAAAGUGAGAGAGACAGACACCCGCCAGUCACCUUUAAGCAACGAGUGCUCGCAACGGUGAAACCAGUCUCGCGUAAGCGUACGCGUAAUGUCGGUCCGGGCCGCUUCAUCUCACAAUACCGCCAAACCAAAGUAUGACAUGCUGGUAAGCAGUAUGACUUAUAUCGCCCACAACUCACUUGUGUUCUACUCGUGCAUAACAUCAAAGCAUAAAACCAGGCUCGGAUGCCACUGUUGGGGAACGUACUAAUUUCAAAAAAAAUUCCUACGCACACGCAAGAUCAUGGUGAUGCAUAGCAACAAGAGGGGAGAGUGUUGUCCACGUACCCUCGUAGACCAAAAGCGGAAGCGUUAACACAACGCGGUUGAUGUAGUCGUACGUCUUCACGAUCCGACCGAUCAAGUACCGAACGCACGGCACCUCCGAGUUCAGCACACGUUCAGCUCGAUGACGUCCCUCGAACUCUGAUCCAGCCGAGUGUUGAGGGAGAGUUUCGUCAGCACGACGGCAUGGUGACGAUGAUGAUGUUCUACCGACGCAGGGCUUCAUCUAAGCACCACUACAAUAUUAUCGAGGUGUAAUAUGGUGGAGGGGGGCACCGCACACGGCUAAAAGAUCGUUGAUCAAUUGUGUGUCUAGAGGUGCCCCCCUGCCCCCGUAUAUAAAGGAGCAAGGGGGAGGCCGCCGGCCAAGGAGGAGAGGCGCGCCAGGAGGAGUCCUACUCCUACCGGGAGUAGGACUCCCCCCUUUUCCAUGUUGGACUAGGAGAGAGAGGGGGAAGAGGUGGAGGGGAGGAAGGAAGGGGGCGCCGCCCCCCUCUCCUUGUCCUAUUCGGACUGGGGGGAGGGGCGCGCGGCCCUGCCCUGGCCUCCUCUCCUCUCUUCCACCUAGGCCCACUAAGGCCCAUUAAGUUACCGGGGCGUUCCGGUAACCUCCCGGUACUCCAGAAAAAUCCCGAUUUCACCCGGAUCACUUCCGAUGUCCAAACACAGGUUUCCAAUAUAUCAAUCUUUAUGUCUCGACCAUUUCGAGACUCCUCGUCAUGUCCGUGAUCACAUCCAGGACUCCGAACAACCUUCGGUACAUCAAAACAUAUAAACUCAUAAUAUAACUGUCAUCGUAACGUUAAGCGUGCGGACCCUACGGGUUCGAGAACGAUGUAGACAUGACCGAGACACCUCUCCGGUGAAUAACCAAUAGCGGAACCUGGAUGCUCAUAUUGGUUCCCACAUAUUCUACGAAGAUCUUUAUCGGUCAGACCGCAUAACAACAUACGUUGUUCCCUUUGUCAUCGGUAUGUUACUUGCCCGAGAUUCGAUCGUCGGUAUUUCGAUACAUAGUUCAAUCUCGUUACCGACAAGUCUCUUUACUCGUUCCGUAAUACAUCAUCCCGCAACUAACUCAUUAGUUACAAUGCUUGCAAGGCUUAUAGUGAUGUGUAUUACUGAGUGGGCCCAGAGAUACCCCUCCGACAAUCGGAGUGACAAAUCCUAAUCUCGAAAUACGCCAACCCAACAAGUACCUUUGGAGACACCUGUAGAGCACCUUUAUAAUCACCCAGUUACGUUGUGACGUUUGGUAGCACACAAAGUGUUCCUCUGGUAAACGGGAGUUGCAUAAUCUCAUAGUCAUAGAAACAUGUAUAAGUCAUGAAGAAAGCAAUAGCAACAUACUAAACGAUCGAGUGCUAAGCUAACGGAAUGGGUCAAGUCAAUCACAUCAUUCUCCUAAUGAUGUGAUCCCGUUAAUCAAAUGACAACUCAUGUCUAUGGCUAGGAAACAUAACCAUCUUUGAUCAACGAUCCAGUCAAGUAGAGGCAUACUAGUGACACUCUGUUUGUCUAUGUAUUCACACAUGUAUUAUGUUUCCGGUUAAUACAAUUCUAGCAUGAAUAAUAAACAUUUAUCAUGAUAUAAGGAAAUAAAUAAUAACUUUAUUAUUGCCUCUAGGGCAUAUUUCCUUCACACUUCUCCCAAUUCAAGACAAGGUUAGUUUCUUCACAUCUCUGCAAUCAAGGUUGCUCAAACAAUCAUCAAAAGAGGAUCCAUAGACGGAGAAAUCAUCCAUGAAAACCUCACAAAUCUAUUCACAAAAGUCAGAGAAUAUAGCCAUCAUGCAUCUUUGAAAGGUAGCAGGUGCAUUACAUAAACCAAAAGGCAUACGUCUAUAAGCAAAAGUACCGAAAGGGCAAGUAAAAGUGGUCUUUGAUUGAUCAUCGGCUGACACAGGUAUUUGAGAGAAACCAGAAUAACCAUCUAGAAAGCAAAAAUGUGUAUGUUUAGAUAAUCUUUCUAGAAUUUGAUCGAUAAAAGGUAAGGGGUAAUGAUCCUUUUUAGUAGCUUUAUUUAGUUUGCGGAAAUCAAUUACCAUCCUAUAACCUGUAAUAAUUCUUUGCGGGAUCAAUUCAUCUUUAUCAUUAGGAACGACAGUAAUACCUCCCUUCUUAGGGAAAUAAUGGACAGGACUUACCCACUGACUAUCAGCAACGGGAUAAAUUAUACCUGCCUCAAGGAGCUUUAGUAUUUCCUUUCUUACUUCUUCUUUCAUCUUAGGAUUCAGCCGUCAUUGAUGAUCACGAACUGGUUUGGCAUCUUUCUCCCAAUUUAUUUUAUGUUGGCAUAGAGUGGGGCUAAUGCCCUUAAGAUCAUCAAGAGUAUAUCCAAUAGCAGCACGGUGCUUCUUCGGAGUUUUCAAUAAUCUCUCUUCUUCAUGCUCUGAAAGGUUAGCACUAAUAAUAACAGGAUAUAUCUUCUUUUCAUCAAGAUAAGCAUAUUUAAGAGUAUCAGGUAACGGUUUAAUCUCAAACACGGGAUCACCCUUGGGUGGAGGAGGAUCCCCUAGGAUUUCAACAGGCAAAUUGUGUUUCAGGAUGGGUUCUUGUUUAAAGAAUACUUCAUCUAUUUCCCUUCUUUCAUUCAUAAACAUAUCAUUUUCAUGGUCUAGCAAAUAUUGUUCUAAAGGAUCACUAGGAGGUACGGCAAUAGAAGCAAGACCAAUAAUUUCAUCCUUACUAGGCAAUUCCUCUUCACGGUGUUGUCUACUAAAUUUAGAGAAAUUAAACUCAUGAGACAUAUCACCCAAGCCAAUAGUAAUGACAUCCUUUUCGCAGUCUAUCCUAGCAUUAACAGUGUUCAAGAAGGGUCUACCAAAUAUUAUGGGACAAAAGCUAUCUUGUGGGGAACCAAGAACAAGAAAAUCAACAGGAUAUUAGUUUUCCCACACAAGACUUCAACAUCUCUAACAAUUCCAAUGGGUGAUAUGGUAUCUCUAUUGGCAAGCUUAAUGGUAACAUCAAUAUCUUCUAUCUCAGCAGGUGCAAUAUCAUGCAUAAUUUCUUUGUAUAAGUCAUGAGGUAUAGCACUAGCACCCAUAUCACAUAAGCCAUGAUAACAAUGAUCUCCUAUUUUAACAGAAAUAACAAGCAUGCCUACCACAGGUCUAUGUUUAUCUUUAGCACAAGGUUUGGCAAUUCUAGCAGUUUCAUCUCGGAAAUGAAUAACAUGCCCAUCAAUAUUAUCAGACAAGAGAUCUUUAACAAUAGCAAUAUUAGGUUCAACUUUAACUUGCUCAGGAGGUGUAUAGGUUCUAAUAUUGCUUAUACGAACCACAGUUGAAGCUUUAGCGUGAUCCUUUAUCCUAACAGGAAAAGGUGGUUUCUCAACAUAAGCAGUAGGAACAAUAGGAUCAUUAUAAGUGAUAGUCUUUUCUUCAACUUUAAUAGGUGCAGCUACUUUUACUUCUAUGGGAGGAUGAUAUUUAAACCACUUCUCCUUAGGGAGAUCAACGUGAGCAGCAAAAGAUUCACAAAAGGAAGCUACUAUCUCAGAGUCAAGUCCAUAUUUAGUGCUAAAUUUACGGAAAACGUCGGUAUCCAUAAAAGAUUUAACACAAUCAAACUUAGGUGUCAUACCUGACUCCUUACCUUCGUCGAGAUCCCAAUCUUCAGAGUUGCAUUUAAUUCUUCCCAAUAAGUUCCAUUUUAAUUCAAUAGUCUUCAUCGUAAAAGAGCCAGCACAAGAAGUAUCGAGCAUGGUGCGAUUGUUAUCAGAAAGCCGAGCAUAAAAAUUUUGAAUAAUCAUUUCUCUUGAGAGCUCAUGAUUGGGGCAUGAAUAUAACAUUGAUUUAAGCCUCCCCCAAGCUUGAGCGAUGCUUUCUCCUUCGCGAGGCCAAAAAUUAUAUAUAGAAUUGCGAUCACGAUGAACAAGAUGCAUAGGAUAAAACUUCUGAUGAAAUUCCAAUUUCAAUCGUUUGUAGUUCCAUGACCCCGUAUCAUCACAUAGCCUAUACCAUGUCAAUGCAUCUCCCUUCAAAGAUAAAGGGAAGACCUUCUUCUUAAUAACAUCAUCGGGUAUACCUGCAAGCUUAAAUAAUACACAAACUUCAUCCACAUAGAUUAGGUGCUCAUCAGGAUGCAUUGUUCCGUCUCCUGCAAAAGGAUUAGCCAGCAGUUUUUCUAACAUACCCGAAGGAAUUUCAAAGUAGACAUUUUUAUUUUCAGUAGGUUCAAUAGGUUGAGGAGCAACUCUUUGCUCUACUGGUCGGGGUGAAGAUACCCCGAACAAGCCCCUCAGAGGAUUACUUUCCAUAGUAACAAGUGACAGUAAAUUUCAGCACACUAUAUAAAUUUUUCCUUACCAAAUUCCACCUACCAAAGACGCUUCACUCCCCGGCAACGGCGCCAUAAAAGAGUCUUGAUGACCCACAAGUAUAGGGGAUCUAUCGUAGUCCUUUCAAUAAGUAAGAGUGCCGAACCCAACGAGGAGCAGAAGGAAACGAUAAGCAGUUUUCAGCAAGGUAUUCUCUGCAAGCACUGAAAUAAUAGGUAACAGAUAGUUUUGUGAUAGGAUAAUUGGUAACGAGCAACAAGUAACAAAAGUAAAUAAAGUGCAGCAAGGUGGCCCAAUCCUUUUUGUAGCAAAGGACAAGCCUGGACAAACUCUUAUAUAGAGAAAAGCGCUCCCGAGGACACAUGGGAAUUAUCGUCAAGCUAGUUUUCAUCACGUUCAUAUGAUUCGCGUUCGGUAGUUUGAUAAUUUGAUAUCUGGGUGGACCGGUGCUUGGGUGCUGUCCUUACUUGGACAAGCAUCCCACUUGUGAUUAACCUCUAUUGCAAGCAUCCGCAACUACAACAAAAGUAUUAAGGUAAACCUAACCAUAGCAUGAAAAAUAUGGAUCCAAAUCAGCCCCUUAUGAAGCAACGCAUAAACUAGGGUUUAAGCUUCUGUCACUCUAGCAACCCAUCAUCUACUUAUUACUUCCCAAUGCCUUCCUCUAGGCCCAAAUAAUGGUGAAGUGUCAUGUAGUCGACGUUCACAUAACACCACUAGAGGAGAGACAACAUACAUCUCAUCAAAAUAUCGAACGAAUACCAAAUUCACAUGACUACUAAUAGCAAGACUUAUCCCAUGUCCUCAGGAACAAAUGUAACUACUCACAAAGCAUAUUCAUGUUCAUAAUCAGAGGAGUAUUAAUAUGCAUAUAGGAUCUGAACAUAUGAUCUUCCACCAAAUAAACCAACUAGCAUCAACUACAAGGAGUAAUCAACACUACUAGCAACCUACACGUACCAAUCCCAGACUUGGAGAUAAGAAUUGGAUACAAGAGAUGAACUAGGGUUUGAGAGGAGAUGGUGCUAGUGAAGAUGUUGAUGGAGAUUGCCCUCUCCCGAUGAGAGGAGCAUUGGUGAUGACGAUGGCGAUGAUUUCCCCCUCCCGGAGGGAAGUGUCCCCGGCAGAACAGCUCUGUCGGAGCCCUAGAUUGGUUCCGCCAAGGUUCCACCUCGUGGCGGCGGAGUCUCAUCCCGAAAGCUUGAUUAUGAUUUUUCUUCGGAUGAAAGACUUCAUAUAGCAGAAGAUGGGCACUGGAGGGCCAACAGGGGGCCCACGAGGCAGGGGGGCGUGCCCAGGGGGGUAGGGCGCGCCCCCCACCCUCGUGGACAGGUGGAGGCCCCCCUGACGUGGAUUCUUCUUCCAGUAUUUUUUAUUAUUUCCAAAAAUUAACUUUCGUGGAGUUUCAGGACUUUUGGAGUUGUGCAGAAUAGGUCUCUAAUAUUUGCUCCUUUUCCAGCCCAGAAUUCCAGCUGCCGGCAUUCUCCCUCCUUAUGUAAACCUUGUAAAAUAAGAGAGAAUAUGCAUAAGUAUUGUGACAUAAUGUGUAAUAACAGCCCAUAAUGCCAUAAAUAUCAAUAUAAAAGCAUGAUGCAAAAUGGACGUAUCAAGCCCAGAUUCCGCAAAAUGGUUUAAGGCCAUGAAAUUUGAGAUAGGAUCCAUGUAUGAAUACAAAGUAUGUACUUUGGUGGUAUUGCCCGAUGAUCGGCAAGCCAUUGAGAAUAAAUGGAUCUUAAAGAGGAAGACGGAUGCUGAUGGUAGUGUUACUAUCUACAAAGCUCAAACUGUCGCAAAAGGUUUUCGACAAGUUCAAGGUGUUGACUACGAUGAGAUUUUCUCGCUCGUAUCGAUGCUUAGAGUCUGUCCGGAUCAUGUUAGCAAUUGCCGCAUUUUAUGAAAUUUGGCAAAUGGAUGUCAAAACUGCAUUCCUUAAUGGAUAUCUCAAAGAAGAGUUGUAUAUGAUCCAACCAGAAGGUUUUGUCGAUCCUAAAGGUGCUAACAAAGUGUGCAAGCUCCAGCGAUCCAUUUAUGGACUGGUGCAAGCCUCUCGGAGUUGGAAUAUACACUUUAAUAGUGUGAUCAAAGCAUAUGGUUUUAUACAUACUUGUGGUGAAGCAUGUAUUUACAAGAAAGUGAGUGGGAGCACUACAGCCUUUCUGAUAAGUAUAUGUGAAUGACAUAUUGUUGAUCGGAAAUGAUGUAGAAUUUUAUGGAAAGCAUGAAGGAGUGUUUGAAAGGAGUUUUUCAAAGAAAGACCUCGGUGAAGCUGCUUACAUAUUGAGCAUCAAGACCUAUAGAGAUGGAUCAAUACGCUUGAUAAGAUUUUUCAAUGAAUACAUACCUUGAUAAGAUUUUGAAGUAGUUCAAAAUGGAACAGUCAAAGAAGGAGUUCUUGCCUGUAUUGCAAGGUGUGAAGUUGAGUAAGACUCAAAACCCAACCACGGCAGAAAAUAGAAAGAGAAUGUAAGUCAUUCCCUAUGCCUCAGUCAUAGGUUCUAUAAAGUAUGAUAUGCUGUGUACCAGACCUAUUGUGUACCUCGCCAUGAGUUUGGCAAGAGGGUACAAUAGUGAUCCAGGAGUGGAUCACUGGACAGCGGUCAAAAUUAUCCUUAGUGGAAUAAGGAUAUGUUUCUUGGUUAUGGAGGUGAUAAAGAGUUCGUCGUAAAGAGCUACGUCGAUGUAAGCUUUGACACCGAUCUGGAUAACUCUGAGUCUCGAUCUAGAUACAUAAUGAAAGUGGGAGCAAUUAGCUAGAGUAGCUUCGUGCAGAGCAUUGUAAACAUAGAAAUUUGCAAAAUACAUACAGCUCUGAAUGUGGCAGAUCUGUUGACUAAAUUUAUCUCACAAGCAAAACAUGAUCACACCUUAGUGCUCUUGGGUGUUAAUCACAUAGCGAUGUGAACUAUAUUAUUGACUCUCGUAAACCCUUUGAGUGUUGGUCACAUGGCGAUGUGAACUAUGGGUGUUAAUCACAUGGUGAUGUGAACUAUUGGUGUUAAAUCACAUGGCGAUGUGAACUAGAUUAUUGACUCUAGUGCAAGUGGGAGACUGAAGGAAAUAUGCCCUAGAGGCAAUAAUAAAGUUAUUAUUUUAUUUCCUUAUUUCAUGAUAAAUGUUUAAUAUUCAUGCUAGAAUUGUAUUAACCGGAAACUUAGUACAUGUGUGAAUACAUAGACAAACAGAGUGUCCCUAGUAUGCCUCUACUUGACUAGCUCGUUAAUCAAAGAUGGUUAAGUUUCCUAGCCAUAGACAUGUGUUGUCAUUUGAUGAACGGGAUCACAUCAUUAGAGAAUAAUGUGAUGGACAAGACCCAUUCGUUAGGUUAGCAUUAUGAUCGUUUCAGUUUUCAUUGCUACUGGUUUCUUCAUGACUUAUACAUGUUCCUCUGACUAUGAGAUUAUGCAACUCCCGAAUACCGGAGGAACACUUUGUGUGCUAUCAAACGUCACAACGUAACUGGGUGAUUAUAAAGAUGCUCUACAGGUGUCUCCGAAGGUGUUUGUUGAGUUGGCAUAUAUCGAGAUUAGGAUUUGUCACUCUGUGUAUCGGAGAGGUAUCUCUGGGCCCUCUCGGUAAUGCACAUCAUUAUAAGCCUUGCAAGCAUUGUGACUAAUGAGUUAGUUGCGGGAUGAUGCGUUAUGGAACGAGUAAAGAGACUUGCCGAUAACGAGAUUGAACUAGGUAUGAGAAUACCGACGAUCGAAUCUCGGGCAAGUAACAUACCGAUGACAAAGGGAACAACGUAUGUUGUUAUGCGGUUUGACCGAUAAAGAUCUUCGUACAAUAUGUAGGAGCCAAUAUGAGCAUCCAGGUUCCGCUAUUGGUUAUUGACCGGAGAUGUGUCUCGGUCAUGUCUACAUAGUUCUCGAACCCGUAGGGUCUGCACGCUUAACGUUCGAUGAUGAUUUGUAUUAUGAGUUAUGUGAUUUGAUGUACCGAAGGUUGUUCGGAGUCCCGGAUGAGAUCACGGACAUGACGAGGAGUCUCAAAAUGGUCGAGACGCAAAGAUCGAUAUAUUGGAAGGCUAUAUUCGGACAUCGAAAAGGUUCCGAGUGAUUCGGGUAUUUUUCGGAGUACCGAAGAGUUACGGGAAUUCUCGGGGAGAAGUAAUGGGCCUUAUUGGGCUUUAGUGGAGAGAGGGGAUAAGGGCCAAGAGGUGGCGCGCGCCUCCCCCUCCUGCCCAAACCGAAUUGGACAAGGGGUGGGGGCGCGGCCCCCCUUUUCCUUCUCCCUCUCCCUCUCUUUCCUUCUCUCCAACUCCGAAUAGGAAAGAGGAGGGGAAUCCUACUUGGACUAGGGAGUCCUAGUAGGAUUCCCCACACCUGGCGCACCCCCCUUGGGCCGGCCACCUCUUCCCUCCCCUCCUUUAUAUACGUGGCCAGGGGGCACCCCAAAAGCACUCAAGAUUUGUCUUAGCCGUGUGUGGUGCCCCCCUCCACAGUUACACACCUUGAUCAUAUCGUCGUAGUGCUUAGGCGAAGCCCUGCACCGGUAACAUCAUCAUCACCGUCGCCACGCCGUCGUGCUGACGGAACUCUCCCUCGGCCUCAACUGGAUCAAGAGUACGAGGGACGUCAUCGAGUUGAACGUGUGCUAAACACGGAGGUGUCGUACGUUCGGUGCUAGGAUCGGUCGGAUCGUGAAGACGUAUGACUACAUCAACCGCGUUGAUAUAACGCUUCCGCUUUCGGUCUACGAGGGUAUGUAGAAACGCUCUCCCCUCUUGUUGCUAUGCAUCUCCUAGAUAGAUCUUGCGUGGUCGUAGGAAAUUUUUUUAAAUACUGCGUUCCCCAACAUACAGACCACACCAUCAGGAGCAUAGUACCCCGGUGGUAGCUGCAUAUAAACCUCCUCACGCAACUCGCCAUUGAGAAAGGCGUUCUGGACAUCAAGUUGAGAGAUAGACCAAUGACGAACAGAAGCCACAGCAAAGAGAGUGCGCACAGUGGUCAUGUGGGCUACAGGAGCGAAUGUCUCAUCAUAAUCGCGUCCCUGCUCCUGCUGAAAACCACGGGCCACAAGACGAGCUUUGUAGCGCUCAACAGAACCAUCGGAGCGAGUCUUAAUCUUGUAGACCCACUUGCAGGUGAUGGGACGAACACCAGAAGGGAGGGAAACCAGAUCCCAGGUGCCAGAGCGCUCAAGGGCAGCAAGCUCUUCGGCCAUCGCAAGCUGCCAUUCAGGCUGAGUCAUGGCAGUCCGAUAGGAAGUGGGCUCGGCAAUAACGGAGAGACCAUACCGGUUAGGAGAAUAACGAUCAGGCGGGGGCGAGGCCGAGCACGGAGGUUAUGAACCAGGGGAGGCAUGAACGGAGGUGCACCAGAGGUGGAAGGCGAGUCAGGGGAAGCAUCCUCAGUAUGAGGGCGGCGAGUAUAGUGGAGAGGAAACGGUGAGAGAGGGCGACGAACAGGAGAAGAUGGCAGAGAGGUGGAGGAGGAGGAUGGGGAAGAUGGUGUCGGUGGUGAAUGAGAAUGAGUGAGAGGUGCAGGAGGAAGAGGUGAAACAUGAGGCACAUAGCAGAGUGUAUCGGGAAGGGGAAGAAAGGAAAUAUCGUCCACAGAGAAACUCGAGGAAGAAGGACGUGGGUAGUAAGAGCGAUACUCGUCAAAGGUCACAUCACGUGAGAUGCGCAAACGACGACCAACAGGGUCCCAACAGCGAUAGCCCUUUGUUGACACCUGAUUUUGGCAAGAUACAGAGUGAAAGGGUUUUCAGCAUGAGAAAGUUUCACAUCGUCGAGUGGAACAACUUUGAUGUUUUGGCUAUCGCCAUUCGACCUCAUCUCAGUGGCCGAAGUUGUACUCCGAGUGACAAAAUUUAGUGUUCUGAGUGCUUUUCGGCCGAUUACGCCCUCAAUAUCACCUCAGAUGAAGGAGUGCUCUAAAGUAAUUGUCUUCGUCUCGUCGAGACAAUCGAUUUUCAUAUAUAAAUCAUCUCAAUCCGAGUUCGUGUGCAAAAGUUACAGUCAAUAUGGUGCGGACCAGCUAGGAAUCAAAAUAUUACGCUGGACUUCAGACACAUGUUGAUGGGUGUCUGGUACAAUGCGUGCGCAAUUAUCCCUUGAAGCUGACCUCGGAUCUAAAAGUGUUCAACAUGAAAGUUUUUCAUCCCGUCAAGCCGAUCGAUUUUCAUAUAUAAAUUGUCUCGAUCCAAGUUAGUAUGCGACCUGGGGAGGCAAGACAAGAUCAGGCUGUGUUUUCAGUCGGAAAUCCGAGUGAAAAAGUUUACCAUCCGAGUGAAAAUUUACCGGUCGAGUGAAAGUUUGCUGACCGGAUGAACUUAUUAUUAUCCGAGUAAAAAUAUAGUCAUCCAAGUGAAAUUUUCCUCCAGGUAAAAAUAUUCCGAGUGAAAAGAUUGCCAUCGGAACGAAAACUUGCCGAUCGAGUAAGAUAUUGCCUUCCGAGUGGAAAUAUAGUCAUCCGAGUGAAAGAUUGUCUUCCGAGUGAAAAAGUCCAGUCGGACGAUCCGAGCGUAAGUCUCUAAUAUCCGAGUGGAUGAGCUCGAAUCCGAGUGAAACUGAACAUGUGCCCGAAAGUUUAUCAAGAUGACCUCGGAUGAAGAAGUGUUCAAUACAGAAGUUGUGCGUAUCAUCAAGACGGUAAACUUUGGUUUUGGAGUCAUCAUCAUCAAAGAUAGUAUAUGGCCUGCAAAUUCACUACAAAACUGGAUAAUCCAGUCUACUGCAAGACCGAGUCCGACUGGAAGGUAAAGAUGACCUCGAGAAAUAUUCAAGAUGGCCUUAUUUGAAAAAGUGAUCAACAUGAGAGUUGUUCAUAUCAUCGAGGCGCACAAGUUUGAUAUUUGGGCCGUCUUGAUCGGAGAUCAUAUGCAAACUCAAUGGCCCGCGCAAGGAGGAAGACAGAAGUUGGGCCAGAUUCAGACUGAAUCCGAGUUGGAAUAGAACUAGGACUCUAGGACGUGAAUUGAUGUAAUUUUUCGUGUAAGGAAAGCCUAGAUGAAUCCUUUACUUGUACGGGAAGUCCAGCCGCCUCUUAUAUAUGUUGGGGAUGACGGCCGAUUGAACAACACACAAUCGAACAAAUCAAUAUACUACUUUUUCAUCUACGUUUUAUCUCUCCACCGUUUUUCUCUCUCGUUCUUCGCUGUUCCUCGAAUUUGAGAGCUGCGAAUCCUGAGGCUCUAGGGGCGAGCGAAUCGACCUAGGGCAGCCCAUAGCCGCCGCACUCCCUGACGGGGUCCCUCCCGGGGGUGUGGGGUUUCGGGUCUGCAAAAGCGCCCACCGACUGUCCUGCGUAUCGCGCUGUCGGUUGGGUCUCCUUCGACGUGAGCUGCGGUGCAUCACCCCCGGCGUCGAGGGUACACGUGACGUGUUCAUGUGUCAACACCCUUGUGCUCAUCACUAUAGCCAAGGAAAACACACUCAACCGACUGAGCAGUCAGUUUGGUGCGUUCUCGCGGGGCAAGAAGGACAUAGCACACACAUCCAAACAUACGAAGGGCGGAGUAGUCAGGAGAACGACCAGUGAGACACUCCAUAGGAAUACCACCCUGCAGGGUAGUCGAUGGCUGAAUGUUGAUGAGGUAGGUUGAUGCAGAAACAGCCUCAGCUCAAAAGGGAAGCGGCAAUCAUCAGCGCAUGAGCCGUCUCAAGCAAAUGACGAUGCUUAUGUUCCGCAACGCCAUUCUAAGCAUGAGCACCAGGAUAAGAGAACUGGGCAAGAGUACCCUGUUCUGCGAGAAAACCACGCAAUAGCUGGGAGAUAUACUCUCCAGCGGAGUCAGUACGAAAAGUAUGAAUAGGUGUGGAAAACUGGGUGUGAACCAUGGCAGCAAAUCGUUUGUAUGUAGAGAGAACCUCGCUACGAGAUUUCAUGAAGUAGAGCCAAGUGUAGCGAGAGAAAUCAUCAAUAAACAAAACAUAGUAGCGAUGACCACCUUUCGAAUCAAAGGGAGCAGGACCCAGACAUCCGAAUGAACUAAGUCAAAGGGAUGCUGGGAUACCGACUCAUUGAUAGAAUAAGGUAACUGGGUUUGUUUGCCAAGUCUACAACCAUUACAAUGUAAAAAAAACAUCUCCAGAUACAGACCCUAAGAGGCCCUGACGCACUAAUGAUGAUAAGCGAGAGCCACAGAUGUGACCAAGGCGAUGAUGCCACUGCUGAAAGGACGCAAACGAGGAGGCAGCAAGUGCAUGAGAACUGGCAGAAGUGGUGGCAGCAGAAGGAACACAAAGCCAGUCAACCUCCCAAAGGCCAUCUGACUCACGGCGCCGGGGGCCAGCACCAACCAAAACCUUGGUGCGACGAUCCUGAAUGGAGCAAGAGUCGGUAUCAAGAAUAACACGACAACCAGAAUCGGUAAGUUGGGCAGCGGGAAAAAGAUUCAUGGUAAGGCGAGGAACAUGAGAAACACUAGGAACCGAAAAGGACGGAGUGGAAAGAAUACCACGACUAGCAACAGGAAGAGAUGUGUCAUCGGCAGUAAGAACAUUAAUAGGAGAAUCAAGAGGGCGAAGAGAAGACAACGUUGAAGAAUCAGAGGACAUAUGAAAGUAAGCUCCAGAGUCCAGAACCCACGAAGAUGUACCUGACGGUGUAGAUGCUGGUGGUGAUGAGCUGGUGAAAGCAGUCACAGCAGCAGCAGAACCCAUCGAUGAAGAACCGGAGGAAGCCAGAAGGCGCUUGAGCCGCACAAUGUCCUGGUCAGUGAGUGACUGAGUCGGGGAAGAUCCAGGAGUCCCACUGGAAGAGGAGCGACUCUGGUCUCGCUUCUUCUCACGGCAAUCAGACUCUUGGUGACCUGGCCGCGAGCAGUAGCCACAGAAGGUGUCACGGCGCGACCGGCCCUUCUCAACAUNNNNNNNNNNNNNNNNNNNNNNNNNNNNNNNNNNNNNNNNNNNNNNNNNNNNNNNNNNNNNNNNNNNNNNNNNNNNNNNNNNNNNNNNNNNNNNNNNNNNNNNNNNNNNNNNNNNNNNNNNNNNNNNNNNNNNNNNNNNNNNNNNNNNNNNNNNNNNNNNNNNNNNNNNNNNNNNNNNNNNNNNNNNNNNNNNNNNNNNNNNNNNNNNNNNNNNNNNCAGGAGCUCGGGCAGCCAACACCGAUGGAACCACAAGCAACCCAGCAGAGCGAAGGCGGGUCUCCUCAGCACAAAGCUCGUCAAGCACCUCCGAGAUAGGCACACGACCACAAGCAAGCAAGUGAGCACGUCGAGGCUCGAACUCAGAACGAAGAUGAGAUAAGAACUCAUGGACUCUCUGAAACUCCAAAUCAGACCGCGUAGUCUGACAGCAACGGCAAGUUCCACAAACAACUGUCCGAAGAGAGUCAAGCUGGCGUCAGAUGGCAGAGCACUGUGAAUAAAACUCAUCAACAGAGGAAUCACCUUGCUGGAGUGCGUGCUCCUGACGCACCACCGAUAGGUAGAGAGCAUCACCAGAGGGCUGAUAGCGCUGACAGAGAUAAGACCACAUUGCUGCAACUGUGCCGAGUCCCAUGAACUCCGAAGCAGACUGAGGGAGAACACUCGUAGUGAGAACAGCAGCAGCUUGAGCAUCAUCAUUGCACCACUGAGUGUAAGCAGACAGAUCAUCCCGAUAGACGAAAAGAGCAUCAGAAUAGGCGGAGACCUGCUGAUCAUAAGCAUCAACCGCAGCAUCAUCAAGAGCCUUGGCUGCAUCCUGAUUAGCGUGAGAAGCAUCAGCAGCAAGCACCGGCGGUACCGGCGGGGUAGGAGCCACCGGAGCAAAAGGGCAGGGCGGACAGGGAACCUCGCCAGAGAGAACGCCCCACAGCAGAAGGCCACGCAUAUGGAUACGCAUGAAACCCGCAAACUCAGCAUAGUUGGUGCCAUCAAAGAUCACUGAGCACUGAGGGACAGCGACAUAGCCCGAAGAAGACAUGAGGAAGUCUCCCUUCUGCUUCUCUGCUUCUCCUUUUUUUUAGUCAAGGACGAGAAAGACUCGAUCUGGAUCGGAUCGAGCAAGAUUGAGGCAAAGGAGUGCUCGCUCGCGCCUGCGGCCGGGCCAACCGAGCGCCGCUCGUUCGGGAAGCAGGGACGAGCCCCGCUCGCGCCUGCUGCAAAGCCCCAGCAGCAAGUCGACCGGAAGGGAGCCAGGAGGUCGGCGGAGCUGGACCGGAAGGGGGCAGCGACGACCAGGCCGGGACGACGGCGGACGGACGAGAAAGAGGCGGCGACGGCGCGACCACCGGGCCGGGACGACGGCGGCCGAGCAGGUCGGAGGCAGCGGCGACCCGACGGGGCAGCGGGCGAACAGCUGCUAUGGCAGCAGGAGCGGGUAGGAGGCCCGAACGAGCCGAAGACAGCUCUUGCCGGACGGAGAAGGCAACAGCGCAACGAUUCUGGGCCGGGGACUGAAGGGGAGACGACCGGAGACGGUCCACGGCAGGCCAAGACGGGCAGGCUAGGCACAAUGCGCACGGAGUUGCAGCGUGCGAGAAGAAGAGGCUAACCUGGCAUCUGAUACCGUGUUGGAGAAUCAGCAACUAAUAUUCACUGAGGGCCAAAGACCAUUACAUAUGGUAAAGUGCAAGAAACUCCUCAUACAAUGGGGAUAUACCGAAAAGGGACUAUAUACAUCUAACAAUAUUUUGGCGUUCAUGUAUGGGGUACCUCAUUUGGAGCUUUGCAAGGUUUGCACUGGAAAGCAUACAGACAUAGGCUCUGUUUGGAUGUAGAUACUCAAGCCACGGAAUUGAAAGGGGGUGUUUAUCGGAAUUUGCUUAUCAGUACUACUAUAUGUCAGAGUCGAAAAUUUCUAGUACACUGAUUCUGGACGAUCGCACUUUCUCUUUUGUCUGACCGAAUUUAAAAUGUUGUACCAACAUUGGCCAUACCCGUAUUCUGCAUGAAUUUCCUCUGGACAAUUUGCUUUCCUAGUUGCUUUACUUUCUAAACAUGCUACCAGGAUCUCGGAAUCACGACCGUUAAGAGCUCCCUCAUAACUGCAGGUCGCGGUACAUGGCCUCUGUUUGAUGAAAUCAGAAUAGUCGAGAACAAAGUGGCUAACUGGUGCGUAACUGUGGGAAUCUGACAAACAGUUCAGCCAAAUUCUGAAGAAUAUAGAAGUGAUUCGAUAGAACACACAGAACAUGUUGCUAUUACAAUACGGCAACAAAUAAUAAAGCUCUGGCUUCAUACGUUAGUCAGCAUUGUAUUUAUUUCAACAAAGAGAGAAAAACAAAGCACUUACCUAAGCUUGCAGUAGUUCUAGUUCUCAAAACACCAUUAUGGAUGGAGAAUAUAUGCAUAAAAGUCCACGAGAACAACAUAGGGCAACUCGAGCAGAGCUCGUACUAACUUCCUACACGGCGCUCUUCUACCAGUGUUCUCUA
rnacentral:lncRNA from 1 species